rnacentral:rRNA from 1 species
CUGCUGCCUCCCGUAGGAGUCUGGUCCGUGUCUCAGUACCAGUGUGGGGGACCUUCCUCUCAGAACCCCUACGCAUCGUCGGCUUGGUGGGCCGUUGCCCCACCAACUACCUAAUGCGCCGCAUGCCCAUCCAUGACCGGGGUCGCCCCCUUUGACCGGCAGGGGAUGUCCCCUCCCGGCAUUAUGUUGUAUUAGGCGGGAUUUCUCCCGGUUAUCCAUCUGUCACGGCCAGGUUGCAUACGUGUUACUCACCCGUGCGCCGGUCGCCGG